AUGGCAGGCAUUGGUGGUAAUCUGCUUCUACUUUCUGUAUGUAGCUGGGAGCGUCUGCCUGUUGGACGCCCGAAGAGCGUCAAGUUUAAUCCUUGGGAUGAAGAAGACGAACUACGGCGCCCCACUUGGGCUUACAAGUGGGAUGUGGUAUCCGAGAUGACAAACGAUGUCAAUCUCAUAUACCAAAAGUACAUUGCCGAGUUGGACAACAUUGCGCCUGAGCAGGUAACAAGGACAUUACUUCAGUCAUUUCUCAUGCUUGCCUGA
rnacentral:rRNA from 1 species